AUACGGAGGAUCCGAGGGUUAUCCGGAUUUAUUGGGUUUAAAGGGUGCGCAGGCGGUCAUUUAAGUCAGCGGUUAAAUCGUGGGGCUCAACCCCAUUCUGCCGUUGAUACUGGGUGGCUUGAUUGCGGUCGAGGUUGGCGGAAUUCGUUGUGUAGCGGUGAAAUGCAUAGAUAUGACGAAGAACACCGAUUGCGUAGGCAGCUGACCAGAUCGCAAAUGACGCUCAUGCACGAAAGUGCGGGGAUCGAACAGGAUUAGAUACCCUGGUAGUCCGCACAGUAAACGAUGAAUACUUGUUUUCGGCGAUAUAAUGUCGGAGGCAAAGCGAAAGCGAUAAGUAUUCCACCUGGGGAGUACGCCGGCAACGGUGAAACUCAAAUGAAUUGACGGGG
rnacentral:rRNA from 1 species